ACACAGGUGCUGCAUGGCUGUCGUCAGCUCGUGUCGUGAGAUGUUGGGUUAAGUCCCGCAACGAGCGCAACCCUUGUCAUUAGUUGCUACGAAAGAGCACUCUAAUGAGACUGCCGGUGACAAACCGGAGGAAGGUGGGGAUGACGUCAAGUCCUCAUGGCCCUUAUGGGUAGGGCUUCACACGUCAUACAAUGGUACAUACAGAGGGCCGCCAACCCGCGAGGGGGAGCUAAUCCCAGAAAGUGUAUCGUAGUCCGGAUUGUAGUCUGCAACUCGACUGCAUGAAGUUGGAAUCGCUAGUAAUCGCGGAUCAGCAUGUCGCGGUGAAUACGUUCCCGGGUCUUGUACACACCGCCCGUCACACCAUGGGAGCGGGUUUUACCAGAAGUAGGUAGCUUAACCGCAAGGAGGGCGCUUACCACGGUAGGAUUCGUGACUGGGGUGAAGUCGUAACAAGGUAGCCGUAUCGGAAGGUGCGGCUGGAUCACCUCCUUUCUAG
rnacentral:rRNA from 1 species